UUUAUGGAGAGUUUGAUCCUGGCUCAGGAUGAACGCUGGCGGCGUGCCUAAUACAUGCAAGUCGAGCGAACGGACGAGAAGCUUGCUUCUCUGAUGUUAGCGGCGGACGGGUGAGUAACACGUGGAUAACCUACCUAUAAGACUGGGAUAACUUCGGGAAACCGUAGCUAAUACCGGAUAAUAUUUUGAACCGCAUGGUUCAAAAGUGAAAGACGGUCUUGCUGUCACUUAUAGAUGGAUCCGCGCUGCAUUAGCUAGUUGGUAAGGUAACGGCUUACCAAGGCAACGAUGCAUAGCCGACCUGAGAGGGUGAUCGGCCACACUGGAACUGAGACACGGUCCAGACUCCUACGGGAGGCAGCAGUAGGGAAUCUUCCGCAAUGGGCGAAAGCCUGACGG
rnacentral:rRNA from 1 species